CCUACGGGUGGCAGCAGUGAGGAAUAUUGGUCAAUGGCCGGAAGGCUGAACCAGCCAAGCCGCGUGAGGGAGGAAGGCGCAGAGCGUCGCAGACCUCUUUUGCCGGGGGACAAAAGGCCGGACUCGUCCGGUCCUGAGGGUACCCGGAGAAAAAGCAUCGGCUAACUCCGUGCCAGCAGCCGCGGUAAUACGGAGGGUGCGAGCGUUAAUCGGAAUUACUGGGCGUAAAGCGCUCGUAGGCGGUAUGUCAAGUCAAGGGUGAAAUCCCCGCGCUCAACGUGGGAACUGCCUUUGAAACUGGCAAACUGGAGUGUGUGAGAGGAUAGUGGAAUUCCAGGUGUAGGAGUGAAAUCCGUAGAUAUCUGGAGGAACAUCAGUGGCGAAGGCGACUAUCUGGCACAUAACUGACGCUGAGGAGCGAAAGCGUGGGUAGCAAACAGGAUUAGAUACCCGGGUAGUC
rnacentral:rRNA from 1 species